rnacentral:lncRNA from 1 species
GUCAGUCUCCACCCACUCACGCAUGUCCUUGACUUGGACGUCUCCCUUUCAUGUCCACGUGAUCACAAGGCGAGGGAUGCUGUCCUACUUCUCACGCAACGUUAAGCCAACGUUGUCGGCCGCCUAUAUCGCUGACCAAAAAGACUAUCGCUUAGUCCCUGAAUAUAUUUAAUAUCGAUGGUAACAAAUAGACCCAUUUAAAUUGAAAAGUAGCCCUAGUGAGUUGGGAGCUUCAGGAACCUGAACCUGGGGGAAAUCUAGACUUGCUAUGUUUAGAGUUUUACCAUUGCAAGGAGAGCUGGGUUGAAGAGAAAAAAAUGUUAUUAAGCAGACAUCUACCUCUCAUGUAUUUUCCAAACAAAUGGAUGCUGGGCUGCGAGGCGAGACGAGCACAGACGAUUUGUGCCAGUAGGAUGCCAUUACCGAACCUCCGCCAAAUCAGAUCCAGUAAAUGGGGGAUUCACUCCGUGGUCUACAUGGGACAGCCCCGAUUGUUCAGUUACCUGCGGAGUAACAGCCAUAAAACAUGAGAGAAGAAAAAGGUCAUACAGACACCCGGCCCCAGCGUAUGGCAGUGAAGCAACUGAACAGAUUAGGAAAGUCGGUUGUGGAUUGCCUAGAUGUCAAGGUGAUGAAUAAUUCAAAGACACCAGUGUCUUAUUCCACACUGGACAGCAAUUUUCUGCUGACUUGCAGACAUCUUCAACAGUUUACUGUCAUGUAUCUCUACUAAUCAUGAAAUGUAACAAUACCUAUAUUUGACAUAUUCAAACAGACUUUAUUAUCAACAACAAAAAGCAUGUUCCUCGCGUGACUUCGUAUUCUUUCGACACUCAAUCUUAGCUUCACGAUACUAUCCACUUUCAUCUCUUUGCAAAACGUUUAAAUAUCCCAAGUUGUUAUUUAAUUAUUGUAUUCAAGCAGAUGUGCGAGACAAAUGAGGCAUUUUUUUACUGUAUGUAGUUUUGACUCCAACACUAGACAACAGUCUACUACUGGCUUGCAGAUACCUUUACCAUACAGUACAAAAUAUCCCUACUAAUCGUUAAAUAUCCCUUCGUGUAUUUUACUUGUUGUUUUCAAACUGAGUUAAGUAUCAACAUCGGAAAGAAUGUUCGCUAGUUGUACAUCACUCUACAAUUGACUAACACAGCAACAGAACUGAUUGCCAUCAGUCUGCAAAAUACUAAAAUGUGAGUCUAGGUCAAAAGCCCCUCAGGACAAAAGCUCCCCACUUCAUGUAGUAAUGGGAAAAUAAUACUAAAGACAAGGGCAUCUGAAUAAGAAAUAAAUAUACUUUUACGAUAAUGUAUUGUAAGUGCAAGAAUUAUUCAUAUACACAAAAAAUAUUGUUUACAUUAAAACAUAUAAUGUUGCGAAACGUUAUUGUGAGAGUAAGAAAUGCACAAAGAAAUAAAUGUUAAACAUAUUUUAAGGCCAGUCCUUUAACAAUUUACAAUGUACAUUUAUAAAUAAUGAAGCGGUACACAAAAAGGACCUCUAACCGCAAGGUUGGUUUUCAGUAAUCCUCUACAAUCCAGUUCCCUGUGUUUGGUGCAUUCCCAACGCAUGUAUGACUUGCUUGCAGUCUUCCUUGUGAACAUAGGACAACUUGAUACCUGCCUUGUUGAUGCGUAUUAAAUUCAUGAUCAAUUUUUAGUCAACUGUCUUUCCCAUUUUCUCCAUUUCCUUACAUUGAUGUGAUAAAAUACUUAAAAUACUUGAUAAAAUAUGUAAGAGCAAUGACAUAUAUGAAUCGAGGGCCUUUUACGGGGGUGCUGAAAUUAGCGAGGGGCUUUUGCUCGAGGGGCUUUUGUCCUGAUGGGCUUUUUGGUCGGUACCCUAAAAUGUAUACUUACAGCAUUCACACAGUACGAUGUUCGAGACAAAUAAGAGAUGUAUUGUUUGGAGGUCUGUUGUAUGGAAGGAGACAAUGUUUUGUUUUGCUUUUAAGACCCCUGAAUGUAUUCUGAAAUGAAUAUUUUUCUUACAAAAUGGAUAUUUGUUACUUCAUUAGAGAACAUCGAUAACCUGUUUUCGACCAUGCUUCACUUUUCUGUCAAAUUGCCGGUGAUUCGAAUUCGCUAUAUGAUAUGAGAUUCUUACAGAUGUCAAAACCUUUUCGUCAUCAAUGACAACCUCCUCCCAAGAACAUCCGCUCACCAGAAAGUGCCACGUGUCUUUACCAUGUCUCGUAGUGGCAUUGAUCCUGCAUUUCCCGUCUGUGCUUAACAACAUGGGCUGGAUGUGCUACAGUAUUUAGAAACAUGUAAAUCCCCAAAAGAGAAACAUUUGGAGCUCUGCAAUAAACCUGUUAUCUCUGUCAUUUUCAGCCCUAUCUGUGUUCAAACUAUAUUACUUGGAGGUUCAUCGUUUAUCUGUUUAUAA